GAUGGACCCGCGUCUGAUUAGCUAGUUGGUAGGGUAACGGCCUACCAAGGCGACGAUCAGUAACCGGCCUGAGAGGGUGGUCGGUCACACUGGGACUGAGAUACGGCCCAGACUCCUACGGGAGGCAGCAGUGAGGAAUCUUCCGCAAUGGGCGAAAGCCUGACGGAGCAACGCCGCGUGAAUGAAGAAGGCCUUCGGGUCGUAAAGUUCUGUCUUUUGGGAAGAAGUCUCUUUGGGUAAAUAAUCCAUAGAGGUGACGGUACCAGAGGAGGAAGCUCCGGCUAACUACGUGCCAGCAGCCGCGGUAAUACGUAGGGAGCAAGCGUUGUCCGGAAUUACUGGGCGUAAAGGGCGCGUAGGCGGGUAAUUAAGUCAGAUGUGAAAGCUCCGGGCUCAACUUGGAGAGUGCAUUUGAAACUGGUUAUCUUGAGGGCAGGAGAGGAAAGUGGAAUUCCUAGUGUAGCGGUGGAAUGCGUAGAUAUUAGGAGGAACACCAGUGGCGAAGGCGACUUUCUGGACUGUACCUGACGCUGAGGCGCGAAAGCAUGGGGAGCGAACAGGAUUAGAUACCCUGGUAGUCCAUGCCGUAAA
rnacentral:rRNA from 1 species